GCCGAGGUAGCUCAGUUGGUAGAGCGGCGGUAUCGUAAACCGCAGGCCGCCGGUUCAAUCCCGGCCCUCGGCUCCA
rnacentral:tRNA from 1 species